rnacentral:lncRNA from 1 species
CCAUUUUGUGGUGUGUUUUCAGAUAUUUCCGUAACGCGGGGGUCGGACGGUGUCCUCGGAAGAAUUUUCCUCUGUCUCACUUAAAAACUUAAGGGAUAGCUAUACAGUCUUUACUCUGAAGGGUAAAUUAUUGAAUUGUGAUAACUGUAUAUUUACAGACAGGUUUAUAAAAAUAUUUGUCUAUCAAAUUAAUAGUGAAAUAAAACUUUUAUGAGGUUCGCAAGGAAGAAAUACGAAAGCUACUUAAAGUGGCGGAUCUAUCUCAUUGCCUCUUAGGGCAAAGACAUUUCUUUAAGCCAGGUUGACACAGUAUUUAAUUUUGCAGUCCCACAGGUUGAAGGUAACAUGCUGAGUUUCCUACUGACGGUCCCUGUCCUCCCCCCAGUGUCUGUCACUGGUCCACUAAAGGCAGUAUUUAUUCAGGCUCCCCUGGCUCUAAAGCACUUAGUCCUCCUGACAGUUUGGAUUUCACAAGUGAAAAAGUUUUGUUUUGUUUUAUUUUGUUAUUUUUUAAAUGAUUUAAAUAAAAAAAAAUAGAAGAGACAAUCAAUGCCUGGAGCUUAAAACAAAGUCUGUGCAAACUACCAUCUCACUUGAAAUUUAAUAAAAUAAGAAAUCGUGUAAAUAUAACAUAGAGUUAUAGAUUUCUAUUUUGUUCAUAACAUAGUGUAAUAUAAGUUGUAUAUUUUCAUGUUUUUUGGGUUUUAUGUUAUCAUUCAUGCCACAAUGAGAAUAAAGCAGGAGUUUGUGUACUCUUGGGAAAAAGAAAAAGACAAAAAAAUAAGAUGUGGGUUUCCGCCAACCUGGUUUUUUUUUGUUUUGUUUUCGUUUUUUUUUUUUUUUUGUUUUGUUUUGUUUUGUUUUGCUUUUCUGUUCUUGUUUUCAUUUUGUCUUGUUUGUUUGGCCUUCCCCCUUUCAGUAUUACUGCCGUGCAAGGCAUCAAUAAAACAGCAAAUGUGUUCUUU